rnacentral:SRP_RNA from 1 species
GCUGGGCAUGGUGGCUCAUGCCUGUAAUCCCAGCACUUUUGGAGGCUGAGGUGGGUGGAUCACCUGAGGUCAGGAGUUUGAGACCAGCCUGGCCAACAUGGUGAAACCCCAUCUCUA